rnacentral:rRNA from 1 species
CCUACGGGGGGCAGCAGUGGGGAAUAUUGGACAAUGGGGGCAACCCUGAUCCAGCCAUGCCGCGUGUGUGAAGAAGGCCCUCGGGUUGUAAAGCACUUUCAGUGAGGAAGAACGCCUGGUGGUUAAUACCCAUCAGGAAAGACAUCACUCACAGAAGAAGCACCGGCUAACUCCGUGCCAGCAGCCGCGGUAAUACGGAGGGUGCGAGCGUUAAUCGGAAUUACUGGGCGUAAAGCGCGCGUAGGUGGCUUGAUAAGCCGGUUGUGAAAGCCCCGGGCUCAACCUGGGAACGGCAUCCGGAACUGUCAAGCUAGAGUGCAGGAGAGGAAGGUAGAAUUCCCGGUGUAGCGGUGAAAUGCGUAGAGAUCGGGAGGAAUACCAGUGGCGAAGGCGGCCUUUUGGACUGACACUGACACUGAGGUGCGAAAGCGUGGGUAGCAAACAGGAUUAGAUACCCUGGUAGUC